AGGGGUGAUGUGUGAUAAAAGAGUAUCAGCAAAAAUGAAGGAAAAGGUGGAAAGUGAAUAUAUUGGUAGAAGGAUGCUGAGGAUGGAACCACCAGGCAGGAGGUCAAGAGGAAGACCAAAGAGGAGAUUUAUGGAUGGAGUGAAAGAGGACAUGAAGUUAGUUGGGGUGAGA